rnacentral:tRNA from 2 species
GCUGGAUUGGCACAGUUGGUAGCGCAACUCAUUCGUAACGAGUAGGUCGCAGGUUCGAGUCCUGCAUCCAGCACCA